GACCCGGUGGCGUAACUGGUAACGCGCGCAAUUGUAGUCUCUUCACACUGCGAGUCCCUCGUUCGAAUCGGGGUCAGGUCG